GAAAUAUCCAUAGUUGAUGCAUCAGAUGGACGCCAAGUGAUUGAUAUUAUACCUCCCGGACCAGAACUUCUUGUUUCAGAGGGGGAAUCCAUCAAGCUUGAUCAACCAUUAACAAGCAAUCCUAAUGUGGGAGGUUUUGGUCAGGGGGACGCAGAAAUCGUGCUUCAGGAUCCAUUACGUGUCCAAGGCCUUUUGUUCUUCUUCGCAUCCGUUAUUUUGGCACAAGUUUUUUUGGUUCUCAAAAAGAAACAGUUUGAAAAGGUUCAAUUGUACGAAAUGAAUUUCUAG
rnacentral:rRNA from 1 species